CUGCUCAAUGAAAUUUAAAUAGCUGCAGUAUAUUAACUGUACAAAGGUAGCAUAAUAAAUAGUCUCUUAAUUGGAGUCUUCAAUGAAGGAUUGAAUGAAAUACAAACAGACUCAAAUAUUUACUGAACUUAAUAUUUAAGUUAAAAAUCUUAAAUAUAUUAAAGACGAGAAGACCCUUUAGAAAUUUUUAAUUAAUUUAUUUAAUUAAUUAAUACAAUUUUUACAUAAAUUAAUUAUUUAAUUGGGGCAAUUUUAAAAUAAAAAAAACUUUUAAUUUUUUUCCAUUAAUUUAUGACUAAUAUAACUAAAUAUGGACUAAAAAAUUAAUUACCUUAGGGAUAACAGCAUAAUUUUUUUUUAUAGUUCAUAUUUAUAAAAAAGUUUAUGACCUCGAUGUUGAAUUAAGAU
rnacentral:rRNA from 1 species